GGAGCCCGCGGCCCACGAAUGUUGGGUCGGGGUGCUCGAAUGGCGGAGACACUGGCAAGUUUUGCCCUGGCAACGGCCGGCGGCGCUUAGUACAGCCAUCUUCGGGUGGUGGGAACGGAUGCUGUUGGUGCGGCUGGGGGAGAAUGUGAGCACCCUGUUGGGUCCUGAAGGAACAACCGUUGUGGUUGUUGUUUCAGAGACGCGCCGGCCUCCUGUGUGGGGGCUGGAAGUCUGCCAGGCAUGGCCUGGCCUCACAUACCGCCAACUGUUGUUGGGUUUGGUGUGGGGCGGAUCGGGUUGUGGGUUGGU
rnacentral:misc_RNA from 1 species